AUUGAACGCUGGCGGCAGGCCUAACACAUGCAAGUCGAGCGGAUGAGUGGAGCUUGCUCCAUGAUUCAGCGGCGGACGGAUGAGUAAUGCCUAGGAAUCUGCCUGGUAGUGGGGGACAACGUUUCGAAAGGAACGCUAAUACCGCAUACGUCCUACGGGAGAAAGUGGGGGAUCUUCGGACCUCACGCUAUCAGAUGAGCCUAGGUCGGAUUAGCUAGUUGGUGAGGUAAAGGCUCACCAAGGCGACGAUCCGUAACUGGUCUGAGAGGAUGAUCAGUCACACUGGAACUGAGACACGGUCCAGACUCCUACGGGAGGCAGCAGUGGGGAAUAUUGGACAAUGGGCGAAAGCCUGAUCCAGCCAUGCCGCGUGUGUGAAGAAGGUCUUCGGAUUGUAAAGCACUUUAAGUUGGGAGGAAGGGCAGUAAGUUAAUACCUUGCUGUUUUGACGUUACCAACAGAAUAAGCACCGGCUAACUUCGUG
rnacentral:rRNA from 1 species